GAAAGCCGUAUGCUUUGGAAGAAGCUUGUACAGUUUGGGAAGGGGUUUUGAUUGAUCAAAAAGAAGAAUGCACUUCAAC
rnacentral:ncRNA from 1 species